rnacentral:rRNA from 1 species
ACAAUGGACGGUACAACGAGUCGCAAGCUCGCGAGAGUAAGCUAAUCUCUUAAAGCCGUUCUCAGUUCGGACUGUAGGCUGCAACUCGCCUACACGAAGUCGGAAUCGCUAGUAAUCGCGGAUCAGCAUGCCGCGGUGAAUACGUUCCCGGGCCUUGUACACACCGCCCGUCACACCAUGGGAGUUUGUAACGCCCAAAGUCGGUGGCCUAACCUUUAUGGAGGGAGCCGCCUAAGGCGGGACAGAUGACUGGGGUGAAGUCGUAACAAGGUAGCCGUAGGAGAACCUGCGGCUGGAUCACCUCCUUUCUAAGGAA